rnacentral:tRNA from 1 species
GUGUGCGAUGCCGAAGCGGUCGAGGCCCCAGGUUGUGACCCGCAGGCUUUGCGGGUUCGAGUCCCGUCGCACACCCCA